GAAGAUAUGACUGCUGCAGUGUGUGCACAUUUUUUAACAAGGAAAGAAAGAUCUGUGAUUUGAAUUUCAAAUAAUCUUCUGACUGAGCUUUCCUUGUUUGCUUUUGCUUCUGCACUUUCCUCAUUUGAAAACUUUCCUUUUCUGAAAACUUUCCUUAUUUGGAAACUUUUCUUAUUUGGCACUUUUUGGCAGUUUUAAGAGCAUUUUCUCCAGAUUGUCUCUUUACACCUAAUAUCUGCAAAACAUAAUUAAAACCACAAAAUUAAGCAGAAAAGAUGUAAAUAAACAUCAAGAACAUAAUGAUAAAAUGGACUAAAAUAUGCUCUAUCAAAUACCCCCACACCUACCUUUUUGCUUGUCCUCAAGCAAAUAAACAUAGUCAAAUAAGUUUUCUUUGCUACGUGAUCCUUAUUUCCACUUAAACUCUUACUCUAGACACCUAUUUUGAAUCAUUGCAGUGAAGAAUACAUGCAUGAAGAUUACUCACCUUCUUUCCUUGUUUCCCUUUACUUACCAUGGCUAGGAUCUGUUUUCCUCAAGAGAGACCAUACAUGC
rnacentral:lncRNA from 1 species